rnacentral:snoRNA from 1 species
GCACAUGUUCCCAAGGUCUGUGGCUCCUGUGGCCCAUCUGAUCUCCAACUGCAUGUGAGAGCAACAUGGAGAGACUUUGACAGCUCAGGUCAGCAAAGUAUUGCCUUUCCUAUAAAA